UACGUAGGGGGCUAGCGUUGUCCGGAAUCAUUGGGCGUAAAGCGCGUGUAGGCGGUCCGGUAAGUCCGCUGUGAAAGCCAGGGGCUCAACCCUUGGAUGCCGGUGGAUACUGUCGGGCUUGAGUACGGAAGAGGCGAGUGGAAUUCCUGGUGUAGCGGUGAAAUGCGCAGAUAUCAGGAGGAACACCAAUGCGAAGGCAGCUCGCUGGGACGGUACUGACGCUAAGGCGCGAAAGCGUGGGGAGCAAACAGG
rnacentral:rRNA from 1 species